rnacentral:rRNA from 1 species
GAUGAACGCUGGCGGCGUGCUUAACACAUGCAAGUCGAACGGAAAGGCCAGUGCUUGCACUGGUACUCGAGUGGCGAACGGGUGAGUAACACGUGGGUGAUCUGCCCUGCACUUCGGGAUAAGCCUGGGAAACUGGGUCUAAUACCGGAUAGGACAAUGGUUUGGAUGCCGUUGUGGAAAGUUUUUUCGGUGUGGGAUGAGCUCGCGGCCUAUCAGCUUGUUGGUGGGGUAAUGGCCUACCAAGGCGUCGACGGGUAGCCGGCCUGAGAGGGUGUACGGCCACAUUGGGACUGAGAGACGGCCCAGACUCCUACGGGAGGCAGCAGUGGGGGAUAUUGCACAAUGGGCGCAAGCCUGAUGCAGCGACGCCGCGUGGGGGAUGACGGCCUUCGGGUUGUAAACUCCUUUCGCUAGGGACGAAGCGUAUUUGUGACGGUACCUGGAGAAGAAGCACCGGCUAACUACGUG